rnacentral:lncRNA from 1 species
CAUCUUUUUGUUUUUCACGGGCAAUACUGACCGUCCCUAGCUUAAGUGUCAAAGGACUUGAUGGUUGAUAUUUAAGAUUUUAAAUUCAAAGCGUAAUUAGUUAUUUAGGAUAAUUGCCUAUAUACUCCUCAUACGCUUGAAAAUAUCCGAUUUAUCCCUACUUUUUUUUUUCUUUCUAAAAUACCACUCAUAUGUUCCACCGUUAUUGUAAAAUACCUCCGCAGUUUUUUCCUGUUAAGUUAAUUAACCUAGGUUAAACGUGAGUUAAAUAUCUACCACAACUAAAAAAAAUUAAAAUCUUAACUUAAGGGCAAAUAAGAAAGGUUGGUGACGGUAGAGGGGUAUAUUGGAAAAGACCAAAAGUCAAAAUAUUUUUUUUGCCUCUGACUUUAAGGGCAAAUAAGAAAGACAGUGAUGGUGGAAUGGUAUAUUUGAAAGGACAAAAUAGUAAUUUUACAGAGAUAUAUAACAGAGUUAAUUAACAGAUUUUAACUCUAGGGGUAUAUUAGAAAUAAUUAAGUUGAAACAUAGGAAAAGCAUUUUCAAUAUUAGCCUUCUAGGAGAGGUAAAUCGGAAAGUCGAAAACUUUUUAGGGGUAUAUAAGCAAUUGCUCCUAGUUAUUUUACAUUUUCAACUAAAUUUAUUUCUACACAAAUUUUGAAUGGAACUAUCAGUAGCAUGCUACCGUUCUUUCUCACCAAA